UACGAAGGGGGCGAGCGUUGUUCGGAAUUACUGGGCGUAAAGCGUGCGCAGGCGGUUUUGUAAGCCGGAUGUGAAAUCCCCGGGCUUAACCUGGGAAUGGCAUUCGGGACUGCAAGGCUGGAGUGCGGCAGAGGAGACUGGAAUUCCUGGUGUAGCAGUGAAAUGCGUAGAUAUCAGGAGGAACACCGAUGGCGAAGGCAGGUCUCUGGGCUGACACUGACGCUCAUGCACGAAAGCGUGGGGAUCAAACAGG
rnacentral:rRNA from 1 species